GUUUUCUCCUACACAAUUAUGUAAAAUGUGGUCCUGUUUCUUUGUUAGCAGUCAAGCUCUGUUUUUGGUCUCCACACUCCGUCUGCUGUUUGGUGCUGAGCAGGUAGCAUAACGGUACAGGGAUUUCAAAGAGCCAGGCAGGUUGCUGUGGUUACAAAAAGGACGUCUGGGCCCGUAGCUUUGCACAGG